GGACGGCUAGCUCAGUUGGUUAGAGCGCCACGUUGACAUCGUGGAGGUCACAGGUUCAAAUCCUGUGCCGUCCACCG
rnacentral:tRNA from 2 species